rnacentral:rRNA from 1 species
AUGCAUGAAGUUCCUGCCCAUCCCCUUCCCCGUCGUUCCUCUACCUCCCUUCCUGGCGCUGGAUCGAAUCGAGCACCCCAGCCGUCACCCUUUGCCCGCAGGCCGCCGCCGGAGACGCUCACCGCCGCGCCGCACGCCUCGGAUCCGGCGGGAUCCUCUACUCCUCCACCUUCUAGCGAGAAGACCCUGGCGGCUUGUUGCGUCCUCCGCGUCGGCUUCCUGCCCAGAGGCUUGCCAACGGGCAUCUCCUGGCUCACGGUGGCGGCCGUCCCCCUUGCGCGGCGGCUUCCUCGCGGUGGCGUGGUCGUCGGACAGAGAGGAGCGAGGCGGAACAGCAGCGGCGGCGGCUGA